CUGUCCCUUUGGUGCAGAGGGAGAAGACCCGGCAGUUGGGUUUCUGGCAGUUGCCUCCUGCCAAGGAAUUGCAAUGGGACACUUUUCCAGACUGUCGAAUGAGUAGGGGAGAGCUAAGUAGACAAGGAAUUGGUUGUUGUAAAGCCCCAGUACAUGUGGGGAUUUCUUCUUUCUCACCCUGCUUGUGAGGAUUUGAGCUUUUCUCUUGCCUGACAGAAGUGCAGUUGCUGCCAAGGGAAACAUACCCAAGGACCAAUAGUGACUCAGCCUUCCCUUUGCUUCCUUUCUUCUUUCCUCUCUGCUCCACAGCUCCCUUGAGCCAGAACCUUGGUGCUGCCUCACCUGAGGAUUCAGAGCUGCCUCUAGGCCCUUCCAGCACAAGUCCAGGUUCUCAAGAGCGUGAGGCUUUCCCAGCAACUCCCAGGAAAAUGUUUGCCACCUCCAGACUUCUUGAGGAUUCUUCAGAGGACACACACAGAUUUCUACGCCAGCCUGAGCUCAUCAUUCCGCUGGUUCCUGUAGACCAUCAAAGCCUUUUUGUGGCACUUCCAGAGAGCAGCAGCUGCACAUCUUCAGAGCAGCACACCCAGCCUACAGCCCAUCAGCCACACCGGGCAGUUCAGCCUCCAGUGCUUCACGUGGCAGUGCUGGUUGGGCAGCAUGGACGGCCUCCAGCUGGGCUUGGAAUAGUCCUGGGCAAGAGGAAUUGCCACCCCUGGAUCUCGACCUUGUUCUUGAGACACUGGAGGAGAUGCUGUCACCAUCCCUGCCUGAAAGGUCUCCCUGUGCUCAGGGGAAUAUUAAUGUUGCCCCUGAGUCUUCAGGAGGGGAGGCCGGGAACAGGGCUGCAGCAGAGGGAGCUUCACCUGGCACCAUGAACUGAGGGAACAGUUCCCUGGAGCCCAAGGAGCCUGAUUCCAUCUGAUUGACCUCUCCAGGAGGGCUGUCCUGAGUGGGAGGAAGAGACAGAGGGAGAGCCUGCGAGAAGAUCUGGCAGGUGCAAUCCCUCUGUCUAUAGUGAUAUUGAUAGAUGUGUAUAGUUAUAUUUAUCCAUCUCUGUAGUUAUAUUUCUAGAUUUAUACAGUUGUAUAGAUAUGUCUAGAUAGAUGAAUUUAAAGAUGUAUAGAGGUAAAUUUUUAUAUAUAUUUCUGUAUAUUGUUUUAUUUAUGUAUGCAUAGUUGUAUUUCUAGGUCUGCAUAGUUACAUUUUUAAAUGUGUACAGUUGCAUUUAUAUAUAUGCAGUUAAGUUUAUAAAUAGUUACAAGUGCACAGUUAUACAUUCAUAUAGUUAUGGGUAUAUGGAGCAUUAGGUACAUAGAUUGAUAUCUGUAUAGGUAUAGGCAGCUUUUUAACCUCUUUCCUGCUCUUCUUCCUCUCUCACCUCUUGUUUUUCCCCCUGUGCCCCCUCUGUCCCCUCCUCCUGUGCUGGCUCCGAGCUGGCGGCCGGGCCGGGCGGAGCAGCAGCUGCAGCCCCGGUGUCCCUGGAGCGGUGGGAGCUGCCGGUGGCCGCAGGCCCUGUGCCCUGAGGAGCUGCUGGAGGACGCUGCCCUGAAGACCUUCAGAAGAGCCGGAGAGAACCAGCAGGGAGAAGCUGAAGGCCGCCAGCAAGAGCAGCGAACGGGGACCUGCUGCUGCCGCCCGAGACCCUGGGUGUCCCAUCUGCUGUCCCCGUCCAGGAGAGCUGCUCUGCACGGGAGGAAGAGACCGAGGGAGAGCCUGGGAACAUCGGCGCCUGCAAUCCCUCCUGAUUUAAUUCUAUUUAUAGAUGUGUGGAGUAUGACUAAGAGCGUUCAAAGAAUGGGGAUAUUUCCAUCUGUAUAUCUACUUGUAUGGGUAUAUUGAUGCAUGUAUAUCGAUCUGUUUACAUCUGUAGUUAUAUUUACAUACUUGUUCAGUUGGGUACCUGAUCGAUUGAUGGGGUUGGAAUGAUUUUUAUAUUAGUACAUUGAUAUUUGCAUAUUUAUAGAGGAAUUUGAUAUGUGUGUAUUAUAGAUGUCUUGUUAUAUCUCACAUGAAAUAUUUAAUAUAUAUUUACAUCUGUAUGUUUUUAUGAUUUUAUAUGUAUUUACUUAUAUUUCAGUAUGUAUGGAAUUGUAUAGCUCUAGAAUUCUAUUUUUUUAGUUCUAGAUCUGGGAUUCUUUAGAGAGGGAUAUCUGUAUUUCUGUAUUCAUAUAUGGGCCGUACAGUUGUAGAAUUAUGUAAUAAAUUAAAUUGUUAAACUUCA